CAGCCGCCACGGUAAUACAGAGGGUGCAAGCGUUAAUCGGAAUUACUGGGCGUAAAGCGCGCGUAGGUGGUUUGUUAAGUUGGAUGUGAAAUCCCCGGGCUCAACCUGGGAACUGCAUCCAAAACUGGCAAGCUAGAGUAUGGUAGAGGGUGGUGGAAUUUCCUGUGUAGCGGUGAAAUGCGUAGAUAUAGGAAGGAACACCAGUGGCGAAGGCGACCACCUGGACUGAUACUGACACUGAGGUGCGAAAGCGUGGGGAGCAAACAGGAUUAGAUACCCGCGUAGUCCCUGUCUCUUAUAC
rnacentral:rRNA from 1 species